rnacentral:rRNA from 1 species
AUGAACGCUAGCGGCAGGCUUAACACAUGCAAGUCGAGGGGCAGCGAGAGAGUAGCAAUACUUUUGUCGGCGACCGGCGGACGGGUGCGUAACGCGUAUGCAACCUACCUUAUACAGGGGGAUAACCUUUCGAAAGGGAGACUAAUACCGCAUAACAUUACUUUGAGGCAUCUUGAGGUAAUUAAAUCUUCGGAGGUAUAAGAUGGGCAUGCGUAGCAUUAGCUAGAUGGUGCGGUAACGGCGUACCAUGGCGACGAUGCUUAGGGGUUCUGAGAGGAAGGUCCCCCACACUGGUACUGAGAUACGGACCAGACUCCUACGGGAGGCAGCAGUGAGGAAUAUUGGUCAAUGGUCGGAAGACUGAACCAGCCAUGCCGCGUGCAGGAAGAAUGUCUUAUGGAUUGUAAACUGCUUUUGUAUGGGGCUAAUAAUAACUUUGCGAAGUUAGAUGCAGGUACCAUACGAAUAAGGAUCGGCUAACUCCGUG